rnacentral:rRNA from 1 species
UACAGAGGUCCCAAGCGUUGUUCGGAUUCACUGGGCGUAAAGGGUGCGUAGGCGGUCGGGUAAGUCUGACGUGAAAUCUCCAAGCUCAACUUGGAAAUGGCGUCGGAUACUAUUCGGCUCGAGGAGUGGAGGGGAGACUGGAAUUCUCGGUGUAGCAGUGAAAUGCGUAGAUAUCGAGAGGAACACCAGUGGCGAAGGCGGCUCACUGGACCGGUAUUGACGCUGAGGUGCGAAAGCGUGGGGAGCAAACAGG